CCCUUAGAUGUCCGGGGCCGCACGCGCGCUAUAAUGGAUGAAUCAACGCGUCAUCCUGGCCCGAAAGGGUUGGGGAACCGCUGAACCUCAUCCGUGGUUGGGAUUGGGGUUUGUAAUUAUUCCCCAUGAACUAGGAAUUCCCAGUAAGCGCGAGUCAUAAGCUCGCGUUGAUUACGUCCCUGCCCUUUGUACACACCGCCCGUCGCUACUACCGAUUGGAUGGUUUAGUGAGAUCCUCGGAUUGGUCACGGCACGGUGGCAACACUGCGUCGGUGUGCCGAGAAGACGAUCAAACUUGAUCAUCUAGAGGAAGUAAAAGUCGUAACA
rnacentral:rRNA from 1 species